GACGAACGCUGGCGGCGUGCCUAAUACAUGUAAGUCGAACGAGUGGCGGACGGGUGAGUAACAAGUGGGAACCUACCCAUCAGAGGGGGAUAACUACUGGAAACGGUAGCUAAUACCGCAUACCAUCAGAUGUGCCCCGAUGGGAUUAGCUAGUAGGUGGGGUAACGGCUCACCUAGGCGACGAUCCCUAGCUGGUCUUAGGCAAUUCCCCGCCCCACUGGAACUGAGACACGGUCCAUACUCCUCCUCUCCUCUUCCUUUUCUCUUCUUUCCCCCUUUACUCAAGCCUGCUUCAGCCAUGCCGCGUGUGUGAACAAUCCCUUCUGUUUUUCCUGCACUUUCAGCGGGGAGGCGUUACCCGCAGAAGAAGCACCGGCUAACUCCGUGCCAGCAGCCGCGGUAAUAC
rnacentral:rRNA from 1 species